CCCUCAGUGGGAAAAUCCUCAGUAAAUCUGAUCAAGUUUUUGGUGUGGAGUUUCUGGAUCAUGUGGUGAAUUUACUUUUAAUUUUCUGGAGACAGAUUCAAAAGAAUACUGCUGUGAUAUAUUUCAAGAAGCGUUAUGCCC